rnacentral:rRNA from 1 species
UCCCAAAAUAUAUGUUAAGUGGAAAAGGAUGUGGCGUUGCCCAGACAACUAGGAUGUUGGCUUAGAAGCAGCCAUCAUUUAAAGAGUGCGUAAUAGCUCACUAGUCGAGUGACACUGCGCCGAAAAUGUACCGGGGCUAAACAUAUUACCGAAGCUGUGGAUUGUCCUUUGGACAAUGGUAGGAGAGCGUUCUAAGGGCGUUGAAGCAUGAUCGUAAGGACAUGUGGAGCGCUUAGAAGUGAGAAUGCCGGUGUGAGUAGCGAAAGACGGGUGAGAAUCCCGUCCACCGAUUGACUAAGGUUUCCAGAGGAAGGCUCGUCCGCUCUGGGUUAGUCGGGUCCUAAGCUGAGGCCGACAGGCGUAGGCGAUGGAUAACAGGUUGAUAUUCCUGUACCACCUAUAAUCGUUUUAAUCGAUGGGGGGACGCAGUAGGAUAGGCGAAGCGUGCGAUUGGAUUGCACGUCUAAGCAGUAAGGCUGAGUAUUAGGCAAAUCCGGUACUCGUUAAGGCUGAGCUGUGAUGGGGAGAAGACAUUGUGUCUUCGAGUCGUUGAUUUCACACUGCCGAGAAAAGCCUCUAGAUAGAAAAUAGGUGCCCGUACCGCAAACCGACACAGGUAGUCAAGAUGAGAAUUCUAAGGUGAGCGAGCGAACUCUCGUUAAGGAACUCGGCAAAAUGACCCCGUAACUUCGGGAGAAGGGGUGCUCUUUAGGGUUAACGCCCAGAAGAGCCGCAGUGAAUAGGCCCAAGCGACUGUUUAUCAAAAACACAGGUCUCUGCUAAACCGUAAGGUGAUGUAUAGGGGCUGACGCCUGCCCGGUGCUGGAAGGUUAAGAGGAGUGGUUAGCUUCUGCGAAGCUACGAAUCGAAGCCCCAGUAAACGGCGGCCGUAACUAUAACGGUCCUAAGGUAGCGAAAUUCCUUGUCGGGUAAGUUCCGACCCGCACGAAAGGCGUAACGAUUUGGGCACUGUCUCAACGAGAGACUCGGUGAAAUCAUAGUACCUGUGAAGAUGCAGGUUACCCGCGACAGGACGGAAAGACCCCGUGGAGCUUUACUGUAGCCUGAUAUUGAAAUUCGGCACAGCUUGUACAGGAUAGGUAGGAGCCUUUGAAACGUGAGCGCUAGCUUACGUGGAGGCGCUGGUGGG